UACGUAGGGUGCAAGCGUUGUCCGGAAUUAUUGGGCGUAAAGAGCUCGUAGGCGGUUUGUCGCGUCUGCUGUGAAAACUCGGGGCUUAACUCCGGGCCUGCAGUGGGUACGGGCAGACUAGAGUGCGGUAGGGGAGACUGGAAUUCCUGGUGUAGCGGUGAAAUGCGCAGAGUAUCGGGAAGAACACCCGUGGCGAAGGCGGGUCUACUGGGCCGA
rnacentral:rRNA from 1 species